rnacentral:rRNA from 1 species
GCUUAGAGUUUGAUCCUGGCUCAGGAUGAACGUUGGCGGCGUGCCUAACACAUGCAAGUCGAACGGGAAGCUCGUUUUCGGAUGAGCGGAGAGUGGCGCACGGGUGAGUAACGCGUAGCUAACCUGCCCUGGAGAGGGGGAUAACGCACCGAAAGGUGUGCUAAUACCCCAUAAGCUCACACUGAGUAGAUAGGUGUGAGAAAAGCUGAGGCGCUCUGGGAUGGGGCUGCGACCCAUCAGCUAGUUGGUGAGGUAACGGCUUACCAAGGCAACGACGGGUAGGGGGCCUGAGAGGGUGACCCCCCACACUGGGACUGAGACACGGCCCAGACUCCUACGGGAGGCAGCAGUGAGGAAUAUUGCUCAAUGGGCGCAAGCCUGAAGCAGCGACGCCGCGUGGGUGAAGAAGGUUUUCGGAUCGUAAAGCCCUUUUCUUGGUGACGAGGAAGGACGGUAACCAAGGAAUAAGUGUCGGCUAACUACGUGCCAGCAGCCGCGGUAAAACGUAGGACGCAAACGUUAUCCGGAAUUACUGGGCGUAAAGCGCGCGCAGGCGGGUUACCAAGUCAUGCGUGAAAGCUCCCGGCUAAACUGGGAGAGGUCGGAUGAGACUGGUAGUCUAGAGGGUGUCAGAGGAGUGUGGAAUUCCGCGUGUAGUGGUGAAAUGCGUAGAUAUGCGGAGGAACACCAGUGGCGAAGGCGGCACUCUGGGGCACCACUGACGCUGAGGCGCGAAAGCAUGGGUAGCGAACGGGAUUAGAAACCCCGGUAGUCCAUGCCGUAACGAUGUGUACUAAACGUUCGUCUGACUACGGUUGGGUGAGUGUUGAAGCAAACGCGAUAAGUA